rnacentral:rRNA from 1 species
AUACGGAGGGGGCUAGCGUUGUUCGGAAUUACUGGGCGUAAAGGGCGCGUAGGCGGAUUGUCAAGUCAGAGGUGAAAGCCCUGGGCUCAACCUGGGAACUGCCUUUGAAACUAACGGUCUAGAGUCCGAGAGAGGAUGGCGGAAUUCCCAGUGUAGAGGUGAAAGUCGUAGAUAUUGGGAAGAACACCAGUGGCGAAGGCGGCCAUCUGGCUCGGUACUGACGCUGAGGCGCGAAAGCGUGGGGAGCAAACAGAAUUAGAUACCCCAGUAGUCC